rnacentral:rRNA from 1 species
CCUACGGGAGGCAGCAGUAGGGAAUCUUCCACAAUGGGCGAAAGCCUGAUGGAGCAACGCCGCGUGGGUGAAGAAGGUCUUCGGAUCGUAAAACCCUGUUGUUAGAGAAGAAAGUGCGUGUGAGUAUCUGUUCUCGUCUCGACGUUAUCUAACCAGAUAGCCCCGGCUAACUACGUGCCAGCAGCCGCGGUAAUACGUAGGUGGCAAGCGUUAUCCGGUUUUAUUGGGCGUAAAGGGAACGCAGGCGGUCUUUUAAGUCUGAUGUGAAAGCCUUCGGCUUAACCGGGGAAGUGCAUUGGAAACUGGGAGACUUGAGUGCAGGAGAGGGGAGUGGAACUCCAGGUGUAGCGGUGAAAUGCGUAGAUAUAAGGAAGAACACCAGUGGCGAAGGCGGCACACUGGACUGUAACUGACGCUGAGGUUCGAAAGCGUGGGUAGCAAACAGGAUUAGAUACCCCGGUAGUC